rnacentral:rRNA from 1 species
ACAUGAAGCUGGAGUUGCUAGUAAUCGCGAAUCAGCAUGUCGCGGUGAAUACGUUCCCGGGCCUUGUACACACCGCCCGUCACACCAUGAGAGUUGGCAAUACCCAACGUACGUGAUCUAACCCGCAAGGGAGGAAGCGUCCUAAGGUAGGGUCAGCGAUUGGGGUGAAGUCGUAACAAGGUAGC